GAUGAAGAACGUAGCGAAAUGCGAUACUUGGUGUGAAUUGCAGAAUCCCGUGAACCAUCGAGUCUUUGAACGCAAGUUGCGCCCGAAGCCAUUAGGCCGAGGGCACGCCUGCCUGGGCGUCACACGUCGUUGCCCCCCCAUCUACUCCUUCGGGAUUGCGGGGGGCGGAUGAUGGCCUCCCGUGCGCCUCGUCGCGCGGUUGGCAUAAAUGCCAAGUCCUCGGCGACGCACGCCACGACAAUCGGUGGUUGCGAAACCUCGGUUGCCCGUCGUGUGCGGUCGUCGCGCAUCGAGGGCUCGAAAAAAUUGCAGGGCUCUGUUUCGGCUUUCAACGCGACCCCAGGUCAGGCGGGGUUACCCGCUGAAUUUAAGCAUAUCAAUAAGCGGAGGA
rnacentral:misc_RNA from 1 species